AGAUCUUUUAAUUCUUGAUGGAUGAACGAAGAGAUACAUGUUGCUAUUGGCGCCCCUAAAUCCCUAGAACUAUGCACCCUUUGAGCUAAAUAGUUCUUACGUGAAAGUGAAGGAGCAUUAACUACAGAAGAAUGAUUAAAUUAUGAAAAAGCAAAGGGUUGUCCACAUUGGGAAAGAGACGCAAGAAGAGACUAACGUUUUAGACAAGAAUAAAACUUGGGAAUUGGUACCCAAACCAGAAAAAUGUAAUUCAGUCACUUGAAGAAAAAAUUCUGAUGAUAUCAUUGAUAGGAUUAGAUGCAGACUUGGAAAAAGGACCUAUUGCAGAACUAACAAGAGAGUGCAUUCGACCACAUGACUCUUGACUAAUCAGAUUGGGGGCAAAAGUCUGGGACUAAAAUCUAUCACAUGCUCAAGCUCUCGCUAUAUGCAUGGUUCGGUAAAGUUCGAGCUACAAGGAUCUAUAUCAAGACUUUACAAAUUAAUGUCUUGAUAAAAAUAUGUGGUUUUCCUACAUAGUACUGUUCUUUUGGCAUGGUAACCUGAUGUUAUUAAGAAGAAUGCGUGUGAGAUUAUGUCAAAGAUCAAUUAUGAUUGCUGACAGAGACAUAAUCGUAAUGCAACUUAGUGUAAGUGAAGGAAAGUGCAAAACUAUGUCAGCUGAAGAAACAAAAUCCAAUCUUUCUAUUUGGGUGUUCAAGAACCUAAGUUAUGCGGACUCUUCACUUCGGAUGCAAGCUCAGAAUUAGUGGUAAGGCAUGUUGGGUUCUGAUGAAACCUAAUUUUCUAAUAGUAUAGCAGUUACUAUAGUAUUUUAUCACAAGUACUUCAUAAGUUUCCUUUUAAUUGAAUUAAAUAUUUUUCC